AACGUAGGAGGCAAGCGUUAUCCGGAGUUACUGGGCGUAAAGCGCGUGUAGGCGGCUCGGUAAGUGGGUCGUGAAAGCGCCCGGCUAAACUGGGCGAGGACGAUCGAGACUGCCAGGCUAGAGGGUGGUAGAGGGACAGGGAAUUCCGGGUGUAGCGGUGAAAUGUGUAGAGAUCCGGGGGAACACCAGUGGCGAAGGCGCUGUCCUGGGCCACCUCUGACGCUGAUACGCGAAGGCGUGGGGAGCGAACGGG
rnacentral:rRNA from 1 species